rnacentral:lncRNA from 1 species
GGCCCCUAAGGCCGCCACACCGGUAUCGCGCGGCCGACAACACACACCCCCAGGGGAAAAAAAACACGCGCGCGACAGACAACACAAGACGCGAGGCCAAAGGACGCCCAACGACCACCACGACAACGCACACAACGGCAACCCUAACGUGCCAAAGCCCGACCAAGAGACCGACCAAGUCCUACAGCGAAAAGCGCCCCCUCCAAGGGCUCCCAAGACCACUCUACAAGGCUAAACGACCCAACUGCAACCAAAACUUCCUCAAGUCUCUGCUCUCGACCCGAUUGCUGACAAGCCACUCCUCAGCGGGCGUCUUCUACCUGUCCGCCACUAGCCGAGCCCGGUGCGGAGGUGCCUGAAACUGGUCAGUGAAGAAAGGAAAAGCGAGGGGGGGGUGGAAGAAGAGAUAGCGACCUCGAAGCAAAGGGGGAAAGGUGGGCGGGAAGCUGUCAGCUAUAAGCUGAAGCUCUACUGAGUGAAAGGCAGAAUGCCUGAAACGAAAGGGCUGAAGCAAGUAAUACUCGCCAUUCCAAUACGGUUGUACGACAGUCGCACAGAACCAGACUUAGAGACUCCGAUCGCUUCACUCCGUCGUAUCUAAGUCAACAAUACGUGAAGCCGAUAAAUAUCCCUAUCAUAAAAUCCAAGCACUUAGCCGCUCCGGACCCAAGACCCAAAACUUGCGGACCAGCCAAUGGCCCUCCCACCCACCCAUUAAAGGGAUGUGGUGUGGCUUGAUUAAACAUUGGGAUCGGGUGCAAGGCUGGACGCAGCGCCCACCUUACGCUAGGCCGGUACGGAGCGACGAGCAUUAGCAUUCAAGCACUCCCCAGGGAAAAUCGUUUGGGGAGAUUCUCAGGCUCCCCACGGGGAGAGAGCCCCGGUUCAAAGGUCCCUCCCCAGCGGCAGAGGUCCCCACGGCUUGGGGACGCAGCCAUACUUCCAAAUGUUGUAAGCCAAAUAUUAUAAGCCAAAUGUCGUAAGCCAAAUGUUGCAGGCCCAAGUUUGUUUACUCGCUGCCCACCAUAAUCGACUUCAUAUCAGAAUCGUGGCGAAGGGCUACGUCCGAGAACUGACGACAUGCAGAAUAAGGCAUCCUAGACGAACAUGUCGCUUAUCUUCCACCUUGUGCAGCGCGCGCAACUCACAGAUCCACUCUGCUCACGGGGCUUUCUAAAGGUAUGAUUCGCCGCUAGGGCCAACAGCGCGUUCGAAAUCUCAUUUUAUAGAACGGUGCACAUUUUUGCUGUGUUAAGCUCCCGGAAAUGUGGAAGCCAGGUAGGCCCAGCCGACCUUUUAAACGGCAAACCCAUCCAAUGCGCGUAUUUCGCCAUCAUAACCCCUGGUUGCUUUCCAUCCAACGGGGAAUCCGAUGGACCCGCAGGCUCAGCUUCGGGUGAGCCCAUGCGGCCAUAAGCUGCCGCCUAACUCGGAGAGGACUGCACCCUCCGGGAUUGGCCUGCUUGCCAGUCGACCUUAUCAUGAUCCAACACUAACAAGGUGGCAUAUUGCUCCAAAUAUCAGACUUCAUAGCAGGUAAUCCAUUCCACACAGUAAAAUGUAAGCUCCUUCAAAAGCGGAACAGCUUGGACGCCCAACCAUCUGAGAGUUUCCCCCUCAACGCCAAGAGCACCUCCUGGUGUGGGGUUGCGUGAGCAAGUCAGAGAAACGGACCCCGCUGGGUCACCACUUGAUUCCAAAAGCCGAUAGCUCGCUUGGCCCAAAAAUAGUGCAGAGGAAAUUGCAAGAGCUCAGCAAACAGCAGCCUGUGCGCCGCCCGUGCAGCUCCUACUAUUUUGCGCAUGAACAAAAUACCUGCAGCUUCACCAUACGAUCAAUCAGACAGUUGACUUGUUACGGUCAUGGCACUUAGUGGUUCAUGAUGGAGCUUCAUCUAGAGCAUCUGCUCCCCACAUAUCACAGCCACAGGAGCAACAAACUGCAAUCCAACGCACCUCUUCCGUACACCAGGGGCCCAUUAACUUGUCUAGCUCGGCUAAUAAGCGGAACGUAGCAACUCCCCUGGCCUCAGUGAGGGGGCUCUCUACGAGUGGAAAAGUGUAGUGAGUCUGGUUGAGACGCACCAAAAUACAGCGAAAUGUAGCAGCGGAAAACAGACCACAAUAGGUGGUAAAGGUGCGAGGUGGGUGUGACCACGACACCAGUAGUAAUAGCAACGCUAGACUACUCAUGCCUACCAGGCAUCCGCACCGAAUUAUAUACGAUCGGUAACUGGUGACCGUAGCCCUGCGGGACUCCUCUUAAC